rnacentral:rRNA from 1 species
AGAUUGAACGCUAGCGGCAUGCCUAACACAUGCAAGUCGAACGGUAACAGGCCCUUCGGGGUGCUGACGAGUGGCGGACGGGUGAGUAAUGCGUAGGAAUCUACCCACGAGUGGGGGAUAGCCCGGAGAAAUCCGGAUUAAUACCGCAUAUGCCCUACGGGGUAAAGCGGGGGAUCGUAAGACCUCACGCUGGUGGAUGAGCCUACGUCCGAUUAGUUAGUUGGUGGGUAAAGGCCUACCAAGGCUACGAUCGGUAGCUGGUCUGAGGGGACGACCAGCCACCACUGGACGUGAGACACGGCCCAGACUCCUACGGGAGCAGCG